GUAGGGCUGGCGGCGAUCGAGCGUGCAAGCAAGCGCCAAGCGUCCUGGGUCUCCUGGCUCCAAGCUGGUGACGCCAAGACUUCUUUCUUCCAGGCAAAGAUCAACUCCCAGAGACGCCGAAACCACAUCCACUCGCUGCAAUCUGAAACUGGUGUGGCCACAACGCAUGAGGACAAGGGUGCCAUUGCUCACACCCAUUUCCUUCAGCUGCUCGACACAAGACGAGCUCGCUCCUGCUCGAUCAACUGGGACUCCAUUCAGCUGCCAUCGGUUCAGAAUGCUGGGCUCGACAACCCGUUCACCGAAUCUGAAGUGUGGGAGGUGAUCAUGGCUUCUCCCUCUGAAAAGGCACCUGGACCUGAUGGCUUCUCAAGUGCUUUCUACAUAUCAUGUUGGGUGUCAUUAAGCAAGAUGUCAUGGCAGUCUUCCAUGAAUUCUACAAUUUAG
rnacentral:rRNA from 1 species